rnacentral:lncRNA from 1 species
UUAUGGACCGACAACACGAUCCGAUAGCUCUGGGUGAUUCUCGAUCUUGGUCUAAUGGCUGAGGAAGCUAGCAAUGAUCUGAGAAGCUGGAUCGAGUGCGAUCAAUUGGCUGAGAAAGCUUGCAGCAUGGAUCGGAUGGUUCAGAUGCUUUUGGAGUCCGAUCAGGAGUCUGAUUCUAAUACAGUCUGAGUUUUAGGGCUAUAAAUAGCCAUGUGGAUGGAACAGAGAUAGAGCAGAGGUGUUCAGCAAAAACUUGAGAGACACC